GUACAUAUGUUGAAGAUUAUUAAUAUAUAGAGUGGGUGUUGUGGUGGUAGUAUGAUAUGUAGAGUAGUAGGUUGCAUAGUACGAUGUAGUGUAUGA
rnacentral:pre_miRNA from 1 species